AUAUUAAUAAAGGGUGAAAUCAAUUUUUUGAUAUGUAAUUAAACAAAAACUGAAGUUAAAGUUGAAGCUAUUAAAAUAAAGGUAUGAACCAGGAUUAGAUACCCUGCUACACUUUAUUUAAAUAAUUAUAUACCUGGGUACUAAACAGCUAACAUCUUGAAACUCAAAGGAUUUGGCGGUAAUUUAGUCUAUUUAGAGGAACCUGUCCUAUAAUCGAUAAUCCACGAAGAAUCUUACUUUAUUUUGUAGAUUACAGUUUGUAUACCGCCAUUAUCAGAUAACUUUAAGAGAAUAUUAAGUUAUUGUAAUAAUAUUGUUAGUAUAUUAGGUCAAGGUGCAGCUUAUAAUAAAGAAGAGAUGGGUUACAAUAAUAUAAAUUUAAAAUGGAAUAAUAAAAGAAUUAUUUAUUAUGAAAAUGGAUUUAAAAGUAAAAAAAUUUCAAUAAGAUUUUUUGAGUAUAGCUCUAGAUUAUGUACACAUCGCCCGUCGCUCUCGUUAAUUAAAGC
rnacentral:rRNA from 1 species